UUGAGUGUGGGCCAAGUGAUAGUUUCAAACAUCUUGAACUUUGAAACUUCCUUGUUACAGAGCCCUAAAAACAGGUUUUGUUAUACUGGAAGUUUCUUGACAGAAUAACAAAACAGUAUCCAUAUAUCUGUCACAACACAAGGCAGGUCUGCCAGGAAAAAUACACGGGCUAUUCACUUGAAGAAAUAAAAAAAGAAGCGCAGAAAUCUCUGAAACAUCUGAUUUCCCCUUCUCCAUGGAAAAAUGUGCUGGGUCAUUUUAACGCUGGGUUAUUUUUUUCUGCCUAACCACUGGGUUGACCUUGUCUCUGGUGAAACUUCUCAACAAUGUUGCUGCUGAGAGCACAGGCCUUUUAAGUCCACAGGAGAGAGCAGUUCUCUGUGUCGCCACCACCGAUUUGAUGCACUUUUUCCGGGAAAUAAAGGCUUUGGAGUCAGUCAUGCCAUCUCUCAGCUACGAGUGAAAUGCAAGGCCGCGGUCUAAAGUUCACAGUUCCCCUCAAACAGCAGCCCUUGACCAGCUCAAAUUUCGGCAACAAACCGGCACAAGAAUUAGCACUAUUUCGGUAAAAAGCGAUUACAGAGAAUGGUUGAAUACACUUAAAUUAAAAGUGCCCUUUUAUUUCUAAAAUGCUUGUUAAAGGAGUUUAAAUGUAUGUAAUAUUGUAACUAUGCUGUAUUCACCCAAAUUAAUUCAAUUUGUCUUGUAUUUUGU